GGAAUCGCCAGAAAGUUUCGACUGACGAUAUCUGAAAAUAUCACGAUAUCUUUUACAAUCAUGGUAUUUUCAGAUAGCGCCAGUCGAUGCUUUCUGACGGUAUCU